rnacentral:rRNA from 1 species
GUCGAGAAUAAUUCACAAUGGACGAAAGUCUGAUGGUGCAACGCCGUGUGGAGGAUGACGGUCUUCGGAUUGUAAACUCCUGUCAUCCGGGAGUAAGACCUGGCUGUGAAUAGCAGACAGGGUUGAUAGUACCGGAAGAGGAAGGGACGGCUAACUUCGUGCCAGCAGCCGCGGUAAUACGAAGGUCCCGAGCGUUGUUCGGAAUCACUGGGCGUAAAGGGAGCGUAGGCGGCGUGGUAAGUCAGAUGUGAAAUCCCGGGGCUCAACCCCGGAACUGCAUCCGAUACUGCCGUGCUAGAGGAUUGGAGAGGUAGCUGGAAUUCUUGGUGUAGCAGUGAAAUGCGUGGAGAUCAAGAGGAACACUCGUGGCGAAAGCGAGCUACUGGACAAUAUCUGACGCUGAGGCUCGAAGGCCAGGGUAGCGAAAGGGAUUAGAUACCCCUGUAGUCC